CCGGCAAACGGGUGCGGAACACGUACACAACUUUCCUUUAAGUGGGGGAUAGCCCAGAGAAAUUUGGAUUAAUACCCCGUAAUAUUAUGAAGUGGCAUCAUUUUAUAAUUAUAGCUCCGGCGCUUGAAGAUGGGUGUGCGGCUGAUUAGGUAGUUGGCGGGGUAACGGCCCACCAAGCCUACGAUCAGUAACUGGUGUGAGAGCACGACCAGUCACACGGGCACUGAGACACGGGCCAG
rnacentral:rRNA from 1 species